rnacentral:rRNA from 1 species
AGUGAACGCUGGCGGUAGGCCUAACACAUGCAAGUCGAACGGCAGCACAGGAGAGCUUGCUCUCUGGGUGGUGAGUGGCGGACGGGUGAGGAAUACAUCGGAAUCUGCCCAGUCGUGGGGGAUAACGUAGGGAAACUUACGCUAAUACCGCAUACGACCUUCGGGUGAAAGAGGGGGAUCGCAAGACCUCUCGCGAUUGGAUGAGCCGAUGUCGGAUUAGCUAGUUGGCGGGGUAAUGGCCCACCAAGGCGACGAUCCGUAGCUGGUCUGAGAGGAUGAUCAGCCACACUGGAACUGAGACACGGUCCAGACUCCUACGGGAGGCAGCAGUGGGGAAUAUUGGACAAUGGGCGCAAGCCUGAUCCAGCCAUACCGCGUGGGUGAAGAAGGCCUUCGGGUUGUAAAGCCCUUUUGUUGGGAAAGAAAUCUUUCAGGCUAAUACCCUGGGAGGAUGACGGUACCCAAAGAAUAAGCACCGGCUAACUUCGUG